GACGAACGCUGGCGGCGUGCUUAACACAUGCCAGUCGAACGGAAAGGCCCUGCUUUUGUGGGGUGCUCGAGUGGCGAACGGGUGAGUAACACGUGAGUAACCUGCCCUUGACUUUGGGAUAACUUCAGGAAACUGGGGCUAAUACCGGAUAGGAGCUCCUUCUGCAUGGUGUGGGUUGGAAAGUUUUGGCGGUUGGGGAUGGACUCACGGCUUAUCAGCUUGUUGGUGGGGUAGUGGCUUACCAAGGCUUUGGCGGGUGGCCGGCCUGAGAGGGUGACCGGCCACAUUGGGACUGGGAUAAGGCCCAGACGCCUACGGGGGGCAGCAGUGGGGAAUAUUGCACAAUGGGCGGAAGCCGGAUGCAGCAACGCCGCGUGCGGGAUGACGGCCUUCGGGUUGGAAACCGCUUUCGCCUGUGACGAAGCGUGAGUGACGGUAAUGGGUAAAGAAGCACCGGCUAACUACGUG
rnacentral:rRNA from 1 species